rnacentral:rRNA from 1 species
AUUGAACGCUGGCGGCAGGCCUAACACAUGCAAGUCGAACGAGUGGCGGACGGGUGAGUAAUGUCUGGGAAACUGCCUGAUGGAGGGGGAUAACUACUGGAAACGGUAGCUAAUACCGCAUACCAUCGGAUGUGCCCAGAUGGGAUUAGCUAGUAGGUGGGGUAAAGGCUCACCUAGGCGACGAUCCCUAGCUGGUCUGAGAGGAUGACCAACCAAGCUGGAACUGAGACACGGUCCAGACUCCUACGGGAGGCAGCAGGGGGGAAUAUUGCACAGUGGGCGCAAGCCGGAUGCAGCCAUGCGGCGGGUAUGAAGAAGGCCUUCGGGUUGUAAAGUACGUUCAGCGGGGAGGCGUUACCCGCAGAAGAAGCACCGGCUAACUCCGUGCCAGCCGCCGCGGUAAUUC